UACAUGUUUGUUUGUUUGUUUGUUUGUUUGCUUGUGCUUAGACGUUCGCUUGUUCGUUAGUCCGUUCUAAACAUGAGUGAGAGAUCAAAGGCGGAGAAGAGGACGAGUUUUAUGUGGAGUCAUAUGUCACAUGGAUUUGAUUAUGGAUCGAUGUAGAGGAGGAGGUUGGUGGAGUGGAUCCGUGAAGAAGAAGCUGGUGGUGGAGGUGUUCGGGUGUCAUGUAUGUGAUCUAAUUUUGUGUUGUUGAAAUAGAUCGAGCUGUAAAAUGGAUGUUCCUCUGUUGUAUGUCGAACGUAUGUGAUGCAGCGGAUUUAGUCAUGAUAGAGGCGAGUUCAUGGGACUCGGAGUAUGGUGGCGUUAACGGCUUCGAAUCUCAGGAGAAUAGUCAGGACGUGGAGCUAAAAUUGGACGAGAAGGUGUUGCUGCAGAGUCUGCACUUGCUGGUGAAAGAGAGUUCCGUGUAUUAGUUUUAUGAUCUCUUUUUGGCAGCUUUCGGCCUUCUGUAUACUGGAAAGAUGUUCAAUGGGAUGCUGUUCACGUCGUGAAACAACGUUCCAUCAGGCUUUGGUAGAUGAGAGAAAGUUGGGAAGUCGUUCACACUAUCAAGAUGGUAUUGAUAAACCAAUGAUGUGGCAGUCAAUGAAAUAGAAGCCGUGUCACAUUUCUUAGUCUUGUAGUAGCCAGAUGGCUAGUUUGCGACAGUCAAUCAAGCCCAAGUCUGACGUCAAUGGCCUAAAGAAGUGUUUCGAUCUCAAAUAAAAGUAUGAUUCGCAAUGGUUCAAAUGCUGGUCAUGACCAUGACGCACAAUUCGCGCCACCGACACACAUCUGUUCACAACAAUCUGUAAUAGGAAAGGCAACCAGGUCUUGACACACCGCCUCUUAAGACCUACAGAUAACUGGUGGAGGAAUUGAGACCAGAUACUCCACAAGCAAGCUUGACUGACACGAAACCUGCUUCAAAAAAAUCCAUAACCUUGCACACCAGAAGGGAACAUCUGGACCUCUUACUAGUGCAACUGGAAUUUCAAGUUUUGAUCAGUCCGUCGUCUUAGUGGAAGAAAAAUGUUUGACAUUCAUUCACCUCUCCACAGAUGUCGCUUCAGUAGUUUUCAUCUCCUGCUUCUUCUUUCGGCAGCUUAAUUAUUCAUUUCAUUUGUCGCUGAUUUUUGCUUUUUACACAUGGAUAAGAAGACAUUAUUGAGUGACGCUAUUUAUAGCAUUAACGAAUUUCAAGAUAAGCUAAAAGGCAGAGUCUGAAUUGCAGGAUCUUCAAAAUCAAGAGCGAGCGUUGACUGAACUUUCUAUUGAGCAAGACGUCGACUGAAAUCUCUUAAGAAGAUCAAUUCAAGUCAUAAAGAUUGGCACUACGUGUUCACACAACUUCUGUAAAGAAAUAGGUUGUAACUGUUAACAUUUUAGGUGAAGAAGCUAUGAUGCGGUUAAAGCGCACACGAGACUCCAACUCUUUAAUCCAUAUGUCAAUGACAUUGGAAAAAGCUACGGAAAUUGAAGAGCAACACUUGAAUACUUCAACUACGGAAGACAUGAUUCUUCACAUCGUGAUUGUCAAGAUGAAUCGGACAGAGACCUCCACACAAGAACAGCAGUGUAAGAUAUAAUAGAAAGAUCUUGUACACCCUAUCACUCUCCAUCACAGGCAAACGACAAUCCCUGAAUAAGGUAUGUGUGUUGAGAUUGCUAUAUAGGAGAAAAUCAAGCUUGUGUUUCUGCUCUUAACUCUAUCCAUCAAAACCUUCAAUUGACACACAAAAACUUCAUGGUU